GUAAAAUCAUGUUUUUGUAAAAUGUUUUUAUGUUCUUAAUGGUUUUAAGUAUGAAAUUAGAUGAGUUCUUGCAUGAAAAGUCUUUGGAGGAAAACCCAGGUUCGGCCGCCGAAAGUCAAGUUCGGCCGCCGAACAAGCAUGCACUUCGGGAGUGCUUUAGGCCCCCGAAAGCAUAAGUGAGAGAAGUCCAGGUUCGGCCGCCGAACCUCAUGUU
rnacentral:lncRNA from 1 species